AAUUCUCCAAUCCUAACUCCUUCAUUUUAUGGAUAAGGAACAGAAGCCAAGAGAAAAGGCACUUACUCAAGGUUACAUGGUUAGGUAGCUGAACUGGGAACUGAACCAAGGUAUCCUGACUUCUAAUCAUCAUCAUAGAAUGUAGGAACUGGAAAAGCCCCUGGGAAUCAUCAAGGCCACAUUAUAACCAGGGAGAACAAGCAGAUUGUCUACUUUUUAAUAAUAAAUCAUGAUUGUUCAUCAACCCCAAAUUAAUUUUGUAUUGACUUUGCAAUUAGUUUCAAAAAACCAUUAGACCCAACAAAGAAAAUCCAUUUAGGUGAUGGUUUUCUUUCUCUCUGAUUAUGGGAAACAAGAGCCCUUACUCUUAUUGCUAUUCCUUUUACUUAAAGACAGCAGAGUGCUGUGUGAAAGUGUCCAGGAUCAGGGCUCUAGAGAGACCUGUGUUUGAGUCCUACCUCACACAACUGACUAGCUAUGAGACCCAAAGAAAUUGCUUAUUUUCUGAGAGCCUCAGUUUUCUUCUUGGUCAAAUAACAAUGGGGUGGUUGGAGGCUCUUUUGGGAGAGAAGGCUAUAGAAUGCUUUAUAAACUUUGAAGUGCUAGAAAAAUGCUCGUGUUUAUUCUUACUUCUCCCCUUCUCCUCCUCCUUCUCUUUCUCCUUUUCUUCCUUCCUUCCUUCCUUCCUUCCUUCCUUCCUUCCUUCCUUCCUUCCUUCCUUCCUUCCUUCCUUCCUUCCUUCCUUCCUCUGUCUUUCUUUCAUUCGUUCUUUCUUUCUUUCCAUUUCUUUCUUUCUUUCUUUCUUUCUUUCUUUCUUUCUUUCUUUCUUUCUUUCUUUCUUUCGUUUCUUUCUUUCUGUCUUUCUUUCUUUCUUUCUUUCUUUCUUUCUUUCUUUCUUUCUUUCUGUGUUUCUAUAUUUCUUUCUUUCUUUCUUUCUUUCUUUCUUCUUUCCUUCCUUUCUUCCUUCCUUGUACUUAGUAUUGAUUCUAAGAAAGAAGGUACAAGGGUUUUUUUUAAUGGUGCUAUGAAA
rnacentral:lncRNA from 1 species